UUGCUAUAACUUUCAAGCUACAUGUAAUGGUGCCGCAACACCCUCUAGCUCGUGGUGUUCAAAACCAAUAAUAUAUGUAAAUCCAAAUAUCAUAUGAACCUAGUAAAAGUCUUAAAAUAUGUAAUUGCACAUAACAAUAAAUGAGAGAUUGGAUUAGUAUUGAGAGGCGAUCUAAAAGUACAUCAUAUUAUUAUUACCAUUUGAAACGCUAACAUAGAACUCAUAUGGAAUACAUAUCAGACCAAAUAGUUUUAUUUAUUCAUAA
rnacentral:lncRNA from 1 species